AGAAUCAACGCUGGCGGCGUGCCUAACACAUGCAAGUCGAACGCGAAAGUCCCGAAAGGGAUAAGUAGAGUGGCAAACGGGUGAGUAACACGUGGUGACCUGCCUUCGAGCGGGGAUAACGUCCCGAAAGGACGCUAAUACCGCAUAACAUCCUGCCUUUUAAGAGGUGGAGAUCAAAGCCGGGACCGCAAGGCCUGGCACUUGAAGAGGGGCCCGCGUCUGAUUAGCUAGUUGGUGGGGUAAUGGCCUACCAAGGCAACGAUCAGUA
rnacentral:rRNA from 1 species